AUUAGCUCAGUUGGUAGAGCACCUGACUUUUAAUCAGGUUGUCGCGGGUUCAAAUCCCGCAUGU
rnacentral:tRNA from 1 species